UACAGAGGGUGCGAGCGUUAAUCGGAAUUACUGGGCGUAAAGCGCGCGUAGGCGGCUUUUCAAGCCGAUUGUGAAAUCCCCGGGCUUAACCUGGGAACUGCAGUCGGGACUGUCUAGCUAGAGUAUGGGAGAGGGAAGUGGAAUUUCAGGUGUAGCGGUGAAAUGCGUAGAUAUCUGAAGGAACAUCAGUGGCGAAAGCGACUUCCUGGACCAAUACUGACGCUCAUGUGCGAAAAGCGUGGGGAGCAAACAGG
rnacentral:rRNA from 1 species